GAUGUAUCUCCAGGGGUUUAACCCAAAUCUUUCCUAUGACUUAGGCCUGCCGGCUCUUUAUCUGGCUUGGGUUGUGGUGGAAACAGCUGGUCACCAGCCAGACGACAAUCCUUCAUCCUUCAUCGUCUUGAAGAUGGUGAUUAAAUCAGUCAUCAUCUCCUCUUCGCCAGGAUGUUGUGAAGAUUCUGUCAGCACUGUGCCCAGAGCUCCCUGGAGAUAAACGGACUACAAUUAGAGUCAGCGGUGACCAAGAAAGUAUGCAGAUGGAGCAAUCAGAAGGAGCUCAGAGGAGGCCUGGAAAAAGGUUCAUUGAGCUGGCCCUGAAAGUUAGACUGACAAAAGACAUUAACAAGAGGAAAUCAAACAGAUGUCUGUUAACAAGCGCAUAGUACGUAUACACAGGAGCACCCAGAGAUCCGUUCUCCACUGUCCACUCUGCUCCCUGUGGAGGCUGACUUGAGUGAACUAUGCCAGUGGACUCCUGUGGCUUAUGGUCAAUCCAGCAACAGAUCAAACAGGAGGGAGGAAAAGGAGCGGUUUGGGGACUUUAACUGAAGCACCAGUACAGCUAAGUAGGAGAAAGCAGGAUCCGAGGACACCUGGACUUACAACAAUGGGAUGAUUCUAACAAGGCGAUGUUUAAUACAAAGUCCAGGUGAAGAUGUGGCGACUACAACAUUAUGUGAAGUUUUCAUUAUUGUCAACGCACUGUGAAUCAAAAGGUGACAAAAUGCACACCCCCCAAAUAAAAUUCUAACUUUCUAAAGCCCCAGAUGAAGGGAUGUUUGCAUUCUCUUCCUUUGUGGGCCGACCACUCUUAGAGUACUGUGUUCAGCUUUAGAUGAUACAUGAAAAACCUGCUGCAGAUUUUAAUGCAUCUGUUGUAAUUUCAGCCCAU